GCCCUCCUCCACCUCCUCACGGGGACAGAGGGGCUAGCAGCUCCUUUUAUCCAGGGCAGCUAGGGUUUGCAGGCCUGUCUAUGCCAAGGAGUCCUCAGCUCCCCAGACCUGAGCCCAGGUGCCAAACUUCGAGUCUUUGGGAGUGGGCCGUGGCCAGUGCUGGUGUGCUGGACUCUGCCCAGCACCUUCCAGUUUAUGACCAACUCCAGCUACCUAGGCAGGCAAUGCCAUGUCUACCAUAGACACUUCCACCACCCUGUUCCUGCCUGUGAGGACCACACAGGAAGCUGCUGGCUCUGGCAGCUUUACUCCUUGACUCUCUGCAGCCUUGACACCAGCUUUCUCAGGGCCCCAGGACAGCCAGCCCAAGGGUUCCACCAGGAAGAAGCUGGUGCUCACAAGCUGAGUGGUUAUGGGCCCAAGAGGUGCCUGUGCCCUUGCCUGGGGUCCCAGGCCAUCGGAUCAUCUGCCCACUGCAUUCAUUCUAUGGAUGAGGCCCGGAGCUGAGAGGGGACCUGCCCUAGGACCCCAGCACCAGAGCAGCUGAGACAGCUCCUUGUCAGGCUGCUUUCUCCCCUGCCUUGGACUCUGGCUGCACAGAACCAAACUUCCCUGCCUGAGAGGCCUGGGCUGAGCCACUCUGGCUGUGGCUAUCGCCCCCUCCCACCCCUCACCCCUGCCGGCCUCCACUCACCCUGGCCUGGCCCCUCCCUCCCCAGUGAGGAGGGUGUUGAAGCCAACCUCAGAGAGCUGGAGCAGGCUCCAGGCCUCCACGCCUGAGGCCUCCCCCAGUGAGUGGCAGUCCUGGGGGCAGGAGAGUCUACUGGCCUGCUCUGCCCAGUCCUGGGCUGGUCUGGCCCUCACAGGCCUCAUCUUACUCAUCCAUUGACUCCAUCCACCCCCAGCCUGAGUCCUGGGUCUCAACCCUGUGUCAUUGCUGAAGACACAGUGGACAAGCAAGCUGGGACUUGCUGCUCAGAAGCUCCCUGCCUGCUGAGGGGAAGGGGACAGAAGGGUCCCUAAACAGACACUGGCAGUGGGGAUGGAGGGAGGUGGGGGCAGG
rnacentral:lncRNA from 1 species